GAGAGACGAUCAACAAGUGACACAAGAGAUCACUUACAUACAGAUAAUGCUUCUACUUUGACACAGAAGGAGCAGAGCAAUUUCUCGGGUCCUCACAGAAGUCUUCAGAGUUAGUUUUUUUCCCAUAUGAUGCCAAAGAGUUAUACUCAUGAAUUAAUUAGCAGAAGGAGCAGAGCAACUUCUUGGGUCCUCAAAAGAAUC
rnacentral:misc_RNA from 1 species